UACCAACAGCCCUGUGUGACGUCAUCGUGUACCAACAGUCCUAUGUGAAGUCAUCGUCCUGUGUGACAUCAUCGUGUACCAACAGCCCUGUGUGACGUCAUCGUGUACCAACAGUCCUGUGUGACAUCAUCGUCCUGUGUGACAUCAUCGUGUACCAACAGCCCUGUGUGACGUCAUCGUCCUGUGUGACAUCAUCGUGUACCAACAGCCCUGUGUGACGUCAUCGUGUACCAACAGCCCUGUGUGAUGUCAUCAUCCUGUGUGACAUCAUCGUGUACCAACAUUCCUGUGUGAUGUCAUCAUCCUGUGUGACGUCAUCGUGUACCAACAGUCCUGUGUGAUGUCAUCAUCCUGUGUGACGUCAUCGUGUACCAACAGCCCUGUGUGACGUCAUCGUGUACUAGCAGCCCUGUGACGUCAUCAUCCUGUGUGACGUCAUCGUGUACCAACAUUCCUGUGUGACGUCAUCGUCCUGUGUGACGUCAUCGUGUACCACCAGCCCUGUGUGACGUCAUCGUGUACUAGCAGCCCUGUGACGUCAUCAUCCUGUGUGACGUCAUCGUGUACCAACAUUCCUGUGUGACGUCAUCGUCCUGUGUGACGUCAUCGUGUACCACCAGCCCUGUGUGACGUCGCCGUGUACUAGCAGCCCUGUGACGUCAUCAUCCUGUGUGACGUCAUCGUGUACCAACAUUCCUGUGUGACGUCAUCAUCCUGUGUGACGUCAUCGUGUACCAACAGCCCUGUGUGACGUCAUCGUGUACCAACAGUCCUGUGUGAAGUCAUCGUCCUGUGUGACAUCAUCGUGUACCAACAGCCCUGUGUGACGUCAUCGUGUACCAACAGUCCUGUGUGACAUCAUCGUCCUGUGUGACAUCAUCGUGUACCAACAGCCCUGUGUGACGUCAUCGUCCUGUGUGACAUCAUCGUGUACCAACAGCCCUGUGUGACGUCAUCGUGUACCAACAGCCCUGUGUGAUGUCAUCAUCCUGUGUGACAUCAUCGUGUACCAACAUUCCUGUGUGAUGUCAUCAUCCUGUGUGACGUCAUCGUGUACCAACAGUCCUGUGUGAUGUCAUCAUCCUGUGUGACGUCAUCGUGUACCAACAACCCUGUGUGACGUCAUCGUGUACUAGCAGCCCUGUGACGUCAUCAUCCUGUGUGACGUCAUCGUGUACCAACAUUCCUGUGUGACGUCAUCGUCCUGUGUGACGUCAUCGUGUACCACCAGCCCUGUGUGACGUCAUCGUGUACUAGCAGCCUUGUGACGUCAUCAUCCUGUGUGACGUCAUCGUGUACCAACAUUCCUGUGUGACGUCAUCGUCCUGUGUGACGUCAUCGUGUACCACCAGCCCUGUGUGACGUCAUCGUGUACUAGCAGCCCUGUGACGUCAUCAUCCUGUGUGACGUCAUCGUGUACCAGCAGCCCUGUGUGACGUCAUCAUCCUGUGUGACGUCAUCGUGUAUCAACAGUCCUGUGUGACGUCAUAGUCCUGUGUGACGUCAUCGUGUACCAACAGUCCUGUGUGAUGUCAUCAUCCUGUGUGACGUCAUCGUGUACCAACAGCCCUGUGUGACGUCAUCGUGUACCAACAGCCCUGUGUGAUGUCAUCAUCCUGUGUGACAUCAUCGUGUACCAACAUUCCUGUGUGAUGUCAUCAUCCUGUGUGAUGUCAUCGUGUACCAGCAGUCCUGUGUGACGUCAUCGUUUAUCAACAGGUUUGUAGGAACCAAACACUGAGAUACAGAAGGACGAAACUCUCCACUUCAUUUAGUACAAAGUCGUUUAUUCUUCGGAUUUCAGUCCAACACAAAUCUGGAAUAAGAAGAGUCUGGAUUCAGACAUUUCUCCCGGCAUCAGUUUUUAAACCUUUUACACUAAGCUCCUCCUGAUGGGAUGUUUCUGGUUGGUCAAUGAUCAAAACACGGAAGUCACUGAAAGUCUCUGAUUGGUUAUAAAGACGGGAUCGUAUGCCAUUCCACUUUUACCCACUAGGAGGCGCUAUUACACAAGCAAACUUUCUGAUGGGAACGAUUUUAGGCCGGUUCAUGUGCCGUUGCUAAGCGACACAUCUGUCGGCCUGAGCUUGCAGGACAGGAGGAUCCGGACACACAGAAACGAUUCCUGGUUCCUGGUUCUCACCACGUUCCCGUGUCGCUUUCUGAUCUGUUAUUUUACUUUAUUUAUUAUUCUUUAUAUCUGUAAACCUGCUGCUGUUUGUGUAGAAGAAGAAGUUUGAAUCCUUCAGAUGUUCUGUGUCUGAUCCAGGAUCAGUCUGUAGUUACAGACAUCAGUCAGCAGAUCAGCUGAUAUUCAGAUGACUGACAGCUGUUUUCUUUACAUGAUGAAGCCUGAAUACUGUGAUGUGAUUGGUUCUAAAAGUCAUUUAAAAUGGUGCAGUUACCGUCAGUGAACAGCAGGAGGAGCUCCUCAAUAUGUUUUUAUUCUGACAGCAGAUCAGCUGAUUUCAUCUUUCUGAUGAUGAAGAUGAUGAUGGUGAUGAAGAUGAACAGACCUUCACAUGAUGCAGGCUCGUUAUCACCGGGGCAGACCAAAGGGCCUCUGGACCUACAACCAAUCAGAGCAAUGCACCGUGUGACGCAGCGCUGUGACGCAAUCCUCACAGUUUCCAUCAGCGUCCAGAGGUCCAGCCUUUAAUACCGACCACAGCGGAUUCAACACAACGCUCCACAUCAGCGGCAGCCAUCUUUGUUGUUUACGAAAAUGCCUCAACUGCGCCCCCUGUCCAUCAUCUAGCAAACCCGCCCCAUGAGAUAAACGGCUGUGAUUGGCCCGACCGAAUCCAGGUCGAGUGGAAAUCAGUUUGAACGGAGGAGGAGCAGACCACCUGCCAGAGCAAACAACGCACGAGCUCGCAGAUUCGUCUGGUUCCCAUGUUGCAGCAGUAUGAAGGCCGCUAUGUUCGCUAUGUGAGACACUCGAUCCGCCCCGGCCCGCCCCGGCCCCCAAAACAAACAUCCACACAUGGAGCUGAACUGGCCGGAGGCGGAGCGGAGCGGAGCGGCGAAGAGAGCGGCAGGAAGAGCGGGACACCGCAACAAGAGCAGGCAGAGGGGCGGCGCGGCGAGGCGGCAGAGCGGCAGAGC